rnacentral:lncRNA from 1 species
GCGAGCGAGCGCGACGCCGCCGAUGACGUUUGGGACGAUGGCCGCAGGAUGCCCGCGGAUGGCCGGAGGGGUGGUUGUUGAAAUCGCUAUUGAGAUGUCAAUUAACGCGCAUCGGCGCGGGGUUAAGUGAAGAAGGAUCCUGCACAGCGCGCGAGAGCCUUCUUCGCCGCGCGCGCGCGUCCGCGUCGUCGUGAGAGAUGACGAGCGCGCGAUAACGAGAUUAAUUGACGUCUCGGGACGAGAGUCUGAGUCCGAGGUUAGGGCGGCUUCAGCCGAAGAGAGCGCGCGUCGCUCGUUCGCAGCUUAUUCUGCAACGUUCCCGCAACGACGAUCGCGUCACGUUAAAGGCGCGAUAGAAUGACGCCCGUGAGACGCGCCUCCCUCCCUGCCUCCCCGCCGCUCUGUGUAAUGCCAUUAUGAAUUAUACUUCGCGAGAUAAAGCGUUUGCGUAUAACGUGCCGCGUUAUCGAGUGAAGCUCUCGCGAGCGAGCGAGAGAGAGAGAGAGAGCCAGCUGGAAAACCUGUUAAUAGUUUCCUAAGCCGUACGCAUGUGUGAAAAAAAAGUGCGGUUUAGUUACGCUCACUUCAUAACAGCGUCGCUGGAACAAUGCAGUCACGGUCUGCCGGCCUGUUCCAUCCUCGCGACCGCCGACAGCCUUCUCGCGAGCUGGCUAACUUUAAAGGCUACGGAAUAUCAGCGGAAACAAGGCAGUUAACAGUCCGCUGCGCCUGCGGUAAAGGGCGAGACGGAAGUGCCUUCGAGAGACGGGGGCGCCGAGGGAUUGUCGGGAACUUAUUGAUUAAUAAUCUGCGCUCGAGGAGCUCAGCUGAAGAUUUUUCACUGGAACGGUUCUCUUCUGCGACUCGUGUCGAAAGUCAACAGAUAGCUCGUCGUUGCCAAGUAGCAGCUUCUUCACUUAUUUGACGUCGUAUGUACAGAGUGCAACAUUAACAUACAGUUUCACCUUUUCAAAUUCGAAGUUGAUGAACUUCGCAGCCCCGGAUUUUUACCAACGCAAUUUCUGCUGAGAGAGACAGAGAGAGAGGAGCCGCAAAAAUUUGCCGAGAUCACGUAAAAGUAGCUGACAGCGACGAAGCACAAUGACGGCAUGUUUUCGGUCCUCGAGAUCGUUUAGUGGCAAGUGACUACAGCAGUGCGUGAUAACGCCGAUAUGAAAGACACGUGAUCGCGACUCAGGAGCUCGCUUAUGCCCGGUUUCAUCACACCUCCCAAUAGCUAUCUUCCAGAUAAAGAUAUCCGUUAGAUAACUAAAAAUUCGUUUUCUUCACUGAAACCUCUGGUUACGUAUCUAACAGAUAGCUAUCCUUCAUACUAUUAGCUUUUGACACACAAAAUGUACUAGAAAUUUAUUAUAAAUCACCAUAUUCUGCUAAGCGACAUAUUCUUUUUCGGGCUAGUAUUAACUAAUUAAAGUAACUUCCACAGUAUUAACAAUCGGUCCUCAAUUGUAUGUACUAAUUCGACCAUCCUGUAACCUUUUUCAAACGAAAUCGUUCGAAAAAUUCUGUGUCAUCCCACACUUGAAAAUUGUUCGGUUUAUUCCUUAUUGUACAGGGUCUUCUUUCCACAAAUUCCUCCUCCUCAUCAUCAUCA